rnacentral:rRNA from 1 species
CCCGCUGAACUUAAGCAUAUCAAUAAGCGGAGGAAAAGAAACUAACAAGGAUUCCCCUAGUAACUGCGAGUGAAGCGGGAAAAGCUCAAAUUUAAAAUCUGGUGGCUCCUCCGUCUGAGUUGUGAUUUAGAGAAGUGCUAUCCGCGCUGUACCGUGGACUAGUCUCCUGGAAUGGAGCAUCAUAGAGGGUGAGAUAGAGCUUUAUGGCAGGUGCGAACAGGGCAUUGUGAUGCUCUCUCAUAGAGAUGAGUAUUUCGGGAAUGCAGCUCAGAAGGGGUGGUAAAUUCCUUCUUAUGCUAAUUAUUGUUGAGAGACAGAUAGCAAACCACUACCGUGAGGAACAGAUGAAAAGAGACUUUGCUAAGAGAGGAAAACAGUACGUGAAAUUGCUGAAAGGGAAACGCUUGUUGUCAGUCGCGAUGUUCAGGACUCAUCCUUGCUUCCACAUGAUGUACUUCCUGUUCUACGGAGUCCGCAUCUGUUUUGGCCAGUGGAUAAAUGGCGCCAGAGAAUGUGGCAUCAUCGGAUGUGUGAUAAGCUAUGCGGUCGCAUACAUUGUGCUGAGGAGCUGAGGAACUCAGCACGCCGAAAGGCCAGGUUUCGACCAUGUACGUGCUUAGGAUGCUGGCAUAAUGGCUGUAAUCGACCCGUCUUGAAACACGG